AACGAACGCUGGCGGCGUGCCUAACACAUGCAAGUCGGGGGAGAAAGGGAGCUUCGGCUCCCGAGUAAACCGGCGCACGGGUGAGUACAACGUAGGUAACGUACCUUCGAGUCCGGGAUAACCAGUCGAAAGACUGGCUAAUACCGGAUACGACCGAGAGGGCCUCGGCUCUCGCGGUGAAAGAUGGCCUCUGCUUGCAAGCUAUCACUCGUUGAGCGGCCUGCGCACCAUUAGCAGUUGGUGGGUAACGGCCCACCAAGGCUGAGAUGGUUAGCUGGUCUGAGAGGAUGGCCAGCCACACUGGGACUGAGACACGGCCCAGACUCCUACGGGAGGCAGCAGUGGGGAAUUUUGGACAAUGGGGCAACCCUGAUCCAGCCAUGCCGCGUGCGGGAA
rnacentral:rRNA from 1 species